UGCGGUAAUUUGACCGUGCAAAGGUAGCAUAAUCAGUAGUCUCUUAAUUGGAGGCUUGUAUGAACGGUUGGAUGAGAGAAAAGCUGUCUCUUUUAUAAUUUAAAACUUGACUUUUAAGUGAAAAGGCUUAAAUUAGAUAAGGGGACGAUAAGACCCUAUAAAACUUUAUACAUUACUUAAUUUGUCUUUGAAUUUUAAUUAAAUUAUAGCGAACUUUUAAAUGUAUUUCGUUGGGGAGACGUUGAUAUAAUUUGUAACUGUCUAAUUAAAAAAUAUAAAUAUAAUUAUGAUAUGAUCCUUCUUUGUGGAUAAAAAGAUUAAGUUACUUUAGGGAUAACAGCGUAAUUCUUUCUGAGAGUUCUUAUCGAAGAAAGUAGUUGCGACCUCGAUGUUGAAUUAA
rnacentral:rRNA from 1 species